UGCAUCACCACUUCUAAGAACCCCAGUUCUAAGAAUCAACAGAGCUCAAUUCUCGGAAUUUGAGCUGCGGACUUUACCACUGCUGAGUGGCAGGGGAGGACUCGGUGUCAGCUCGCCGGGAUUUUUGCCGGCUCUGUCCCCUAAAACGGCCUCAAAGCCACAAUGUUUUCCUAUACUUCAGUAUAUUUCGAGGUCCUCAUAAGCUAGGUGUCUCAAAUUUGGAGGUUUCUUUUCAAGGCUAGAGGGGCCAGAAACUGGCCCUCCCUCCCCAAGCUUGGAAUAAUGGUACAGCCUGCUCCGCCACCGUCACGUGGGCCCCUCCUCUGUGACGUCGGCAUCUUUGCUGUAGCGAAGCUCGGCCUCUGGAAUUCUGAGAACUAAUUUGCUAUUCGGUGACAUAAGAAGGGGGAGUGCGCUUUGCUUUCCCGGGGUCUGGGGCUAAUUCCUCCUCUCUUGCCCACAAAUUCAACCUCUUCUCCAUCAGCUCCUCGAGCUAAAUGCACAAAAGGAGACAAGAGGUUUGAACCACUGGAAAAACAGAAUUGAGGAAGAAAGCAAGACUGCGUGGAGCUCUGUGUAAACUCUGAACUGGGUCUCAGAACAAACUCCAAGCAAGUCAUGAUGGAAACCUUUCAGCUGCCUGAAAUUCGAGUCAUGAAACUGUUCCCGAGGUCAGAAUACAGAUGCUGGGUGCAUGCUUCCUGCGUGUCAGUGUCUAUGGAACGUGUACAUGCGGAGACGCACACGCAAACGUAACUCCACGGGGCACCGUGUAAGGGAGAAGGGGGAAAAAAAAAAAACUGGAUUUGUUGCCAAGAAAACCGCGGUUUCUAAUUACAGCCCUGCCUCGGACUCCUUAUGGGACCUUGACCUAGUCAGGACUUGAUUUCCUCAACUGUGUGAAAAAAAUAACCCAGAUGAUUCUCAGGAUAUCUACCUGCUCUAUAGUCUGUACCUUUUUACCUAAUGCAUAUUUACCUAACUCGAAGGUGGGGGGAGCUUGGAAAGAAGCCUUGUGUGUAUGUGUGGCCGGAGUGAGGGAAGGGGUUAAAAUGUAAACUUGUAAGUAAAGCCGCUGCCCUGGAAUCCUCACUUCUAUCAAUUUUUAACCAGUUAUAGACCAAAGUCUGGGAUCAUGCUGAGUGAGUCCAAAAGCCAAUUGAAAAUUUUCGGUGUUAGAGUUGGAGGAGACAGGUUCUAAGACCUUGUACCUUUGAUCUCUAGCAUGCAUAAUCGGAUGUGACAGUUCCCAAGUGUUUCUCUGCCCUAUAGUUGUUUCUUUUUUUUCCUGUUUGGAAACCGUCCCAGUCAAUGAUAGGAAGGAGAUGACACUUGUAUGCUAGGCAGGCUUUAAGCCACUAGGCCCCAUGUGGAUGUGAAAAAUAUGUCAUAACACUCACAAAGAAAGAAAGAAAAAAAAAAACCUAGAGAGAGAUUCCUGGUAAGAAACUUAGAGAUGGUUCCACAAUCACUGUAUUAUAGGUAGUUACUUGAAG